UUACUCUGUUUUCCUAUAAAUCUUUCGUCUUUUACUAAAGAUUUCCGUGAAGAAGAGCAGUUAACGCGUUUAUGAGACGGUAAUAUUCAUUUACGU